UUUCCGUAGGUGAACCUGCGGAAGGAUCAUUACCGAGUGAGGGCCCUCUGGGUCCAACCUCCCACCCGUGUUUAUUUUACCUUGUUGCUUCGGCGGGCCCGCCUUAACUGGCCGCCGGGGGGCUUACGCCCCCGGGCCCGCGCCCGCCGAAGACACCCUCGAACUCUGUCUGAAGAUUGUAGUCUGAGUGAAAAUAUAAAUUAUUUAAAACUUUCAACAACGGAUCUCUUGGUUCCGGCAUCGAUGAAGAACGCAGCGAAAUGCGAUACGUAAUGUGAAUUGCAAAUUCAGUGAAUCAUCGAGUCUUUGAACGCACAUUGCGCCCCCUGGUAUUCCGGGGGGCAUGCCUGUCCGAGCGUCAUUUCUGCCCUCAAGCACGGCUUGUGUGUUGGGCCCCGUCCUCCGAUCCCGGGGGACGGGCCCGAAAGGCAGCGGCGGCACCGCGUCCGGUCCUCGAGCGUAUGGGGCUUUGUCACCCGCUCUGUAGGCCCGGCCGGCGCUUGCCGAUCAACCCAAAUUUUUAUCCAGGUUGACCUCGGAUCAGGUAGGGAUACCCGCUGAACUUAAGCAUAUCAAUAAGCGGAGGAAAAGAAACCAACAGGGAUUGCCCCAGUAACGGCGAGUGAAGCGGCAAGAGCUCAAAUUUGAAAGCUGGCUCCUUCGGGGUCCGCAUUGUAAUUUGUAGAGGAUGCUUCGGGAGCGGUCCCCAUCUAAGUGCCCUGGAACGGGACGUCAUAGAGGGUGAGAAUCCCGUAUGGGAUGGGGUGUCCGCGCCCGUGUGAAGCUCCUUCGACGAGUCGAGUUGUUUGGGAAUGCAGCUCUAAAUGGGUGGUAAAUUUCAUCUAAAGCUAAAUAUUGGCCGGAGACCGAUAGCGCACAAGUAGAGUGAUCGAAAGAUGAAAAGCACUUUGAAAAGAGAGUUAAAAAGCACGUGAAAUUGUUGAAAGGGAAGCGCUUGCGACCAGACUCGCUCGCGGGGUUCAGCCGGCAUUCGUGCCGGUGUACUUCCCCGCGGGGAGGGCCAGCGUCGGUUUGGGCGGUCGGUCAAAGGCCCUCCGAAGGGAACGCCCCUAGGGGCGUCUUAUAACC
rnacentral:sRNA from 1 species